rnacentral:rRNA from 1 species
GACGAACGCUGGCGGCGUGCUUAACACAUGCAAGUCGAACGGAAAUGCCCUGCUUUUGUGGGGUGCUCGAGGGGCGAACGGGUGAGUAACACGUGAGUAACCUGCCCUUGACUUUGGGAUAACUUCAUGAAACUGGGGCUAAUACCGGAUAGGAUCUCCUGCUUCAUGGUGGGGGUUGGAAAGUUUCGGCGGUUGGGGAUGGACUCGCGGCUUAUCAGCUUGUUGGUGGGGUAGUGGCGUACCAAGGCUUUGACGGGUAGCCGGCCUGAGAGGGUGACCGGCCCCAUUGGGACUGAGAUACGGCCCAGACUAAUACGGGAGGCAGCAGUGGGGAAUAUUGCACAAUGGGCGGAAGCAUGAUGCAGCAACGCCGCGUGCGGGAUGACGGCCUUCGGGUUGUAAACCGCUUUCGCCUGUGACGAAGCGUGAGUGACGGUAAUGGGUAAAGAAGCACCGGCUAACUACGUG